GACGAACGCUGGCGGCGUGCUUAACACAUGCAAGUCGAACGGAAAGAUCCUGCUUUUGUGGGGUGCUCGAUUGGCGAACGGGUGAGUAACACGUGAGUAACCUGCCCCUGACUUUGGGAUAACUUCACGAAACUGGGGCUAAUACCCGAUAUGAUCUCCUGCUGCAUGUUGUGGGUUGGAAAGUUUCGGCUGUUGGGGAUGGACUCGCGGCUUAUCAGCUUGUUGGUGGGGUAGUGGCUUACCAAGGCUUUGACGGGUAGCCGGCCUGAGAGGGUGACCGGCCACAUUGGGACUGAGAUACGGACCAGACUCCUACGGGAGGCAGCAGUGGGGAAUAUUGCACAAUGGGCGGAAGCCUGAUGCAGAAACGCCGCGUGCGGGAUGACGGCCUUCGGGUUGUAAACCGCUUUCGCCUGUGACGAAGAGUGAGUGACGGUAAUGGGUAAAGAAGCAACGGCUAACUACGUG
rnacentral:rRNA from 1 species